CUUCUACUCUCUCUUCGUUCGGAAAUUCUUGUCAUAUAAAUGAAUGUAUGUAGAUGUAUCUUAGUUUUAGAUACAUUCAUUUCUAUUCAUUAAUACGACAAAUAAUUCUGAACGGAGGGAGUAAUAU
rnacentral:pre_miRNA from 1 species